rnacentral:rRNA from 1 species
CCUACGGGCGACAGCAGUAGGGAAUUUUCGGCAAUGGGGGGAACCCUGACCGAGCAACGCCGCGUGAACGAAGAAGUAUUUCGGUAUGUAAAGUUCUUUUAUUGGAGAAGAAAGAGAAAUUUGACGGUAACCAAUGAAUAAGCUCCGGCUAACUACGUGCCAGCAGCCGCGGUAAUACGUAGGGAGCGAGCGUUAUCCGGAAUUAUUGGGCGUAAAGGGUGCGUAGAUGGUUGAUAUAAGUCUUUUGUAAAAAUGCUAGGCUCAACCUAGUAGGGCAAAAGAUACUGAUGAACUAGAGUACGGCAGAGGCAAGUGGAACUACAUGUGUAGCGGUAAAAUGCGUAAAUAUAUGUAAGAACACCGGUGGCGAAGGCGACUAUCUGGCACAUAACUGACGCUGAGGAGCGAAAGCGUGGGUAGCAAACAGGAUUAGAUACCCUUGUAGUC